UGAGAGGGAAGAGGUAUGCGUCUACGAUCAGAAACUCGACUCGAUUUUAGUAAGCCCGUUUGCCUUUCUUUGUUUCCUUCCCCUUCCCUUAGGCACUAAUGGUGUGAUUUUUUGUUCACAUUAAACCAAAAAAGAAAGAAAGAAAGAAAGAAAGGGAAAACAGUGAAAACCGAGGGUGAAGAAGAUCACUACAACCAGUGGCUAUGAGGAACGACAUCGUCGUCGUCUAAACUGGGUAAGGAUACCUCAACUCCUUCCUCUCUUACAG
rnacentral:lncRNA from 1 species